GGAUUCGNAUGGGGGAACCCUGACGCAGCAACGCCGCGUGAGUGAUGAAGGCUUUCGGGUCGUAAAGCUCUGUCAGAGGGGAAGAAGUGGAAGGGUGCUAAUACCACCUUUCCUUGACGGUACCCUCAAAAGAAGCCCCGGCUAACUACGUGCCAGCAGCCGCGGUAAUACGUAGGGGGCAAGCGUUGUCCGGAAUCAUUGGGCGUAAAGCGCGUGUAGGCGGCUUGGUAAGUCCGCUCUGAAAGCCCGGGGCUCAACCCCGGGAGGCGGGUGGAUACUGUCAAGCUCGAGUCCGGAAGAGGCGAGUGGAAUUCCUGGUGUAGCGGUGAAAUGCGCAGAUAUCAGGAGGAACACCAAUGGCGAAGGCAGCUCGCUGGGACGUGACUGACGCUGAGACGCGAAAGCGUGGGGAGCAAACAGGAUUAGAUACCCUGGUAGUCCACGCCGUAAACGAUGGGCACUAGGUGUGGGAGGUGUCGACUCCUCCCGUGCCGAAGCUAACGCAUUAAGUGCCCCGCCUGGGGAGUACGGCCGCAAGGCUAAAACUCAAAAAAAUUGACGGA
rnacentral:rRNA from 1 species